rnacentral:rRNA from 1 species
GACGAACGCUGGCGGCGUGCUCAACACAUGCAAGUCGAGCGGUAAGGCCCUUUCGGGGGUACACGAGCGGCGAACGGGUGAGUAACACGUGGGUGACCUGCCCUCAGCUCUGGGAUAAGCCUGGGGAAACCGGGUCUAAUACUGGAUAUGACUCCAUGACGCAUGUUGUGGGGUGGAAAGCCUUGUGCGGCUGAGGAUGGGCCCGCGGCCUA